CCCCUCUCAGGAUCACACCUGGAGAGUUUCCAGUAUUCUACCAGUCUCGGCUACAGGAGGGAGAGUCAAGCAGAGGCAUACCAACUCCAUCCUAGCUUGGGCAGUGGCUAGUGAGAGGAAGGCAAUCUGCUACCAGU